rnacentral:tRNA from 1 species
GGGCGGCUAGCUCAGUAGGUUAGAGCAACUGCUUUACACGCAGUAGGUCACAGGUUCGAGUCCUGUGCCGCCCACCA